GACGAACGCUGGCGGCGUGCUUAACACAUGCAAGUCGAACGGGCCCGCCCCUGUUUUUGGGGGUGGGUUGAGUGGCGAACGGGUGAGUAUCACGUGAGUAACCUGCCCCCUGCUCCUGGAUAACUGCUUGAAAGGGCGGCUAAUACGGGGUGUGCCGGCUGGUCCGCAUGGGCCUGGUCGGGAUAGUUUCAUCUUCGGGUGUUUCGGUGGGGGAUGGGCUCGCGGCCUAUCAGCUUGUUGGUGGGGUGAUGGCCCACCAAGGCGGUGACGGGUAGCCGGCCUGAGAGGGUGGGCGGCCGCACUGGGACUGAGACACGGCCCAGUCUCCUGCGGGAGGCAGCAGUGGGGGGUAUUGCACAAUGGGCGGAAGCCUGAUGCAGCGACGUCGCGUGAGGGAUGGGGGCCUUCGGGUUGUGAACCUCUUUCUCCGGUGGUGAAGGCCCUGUCCGUUGCGGCGGGGUUGACGGUAGCCGGGUAUGAAGCGCCGGCUAACUACGUG
rnacentral:rRNA from 1 species